UCUAUGUAUGUACAUGAUAGAUACAGGAUAUUUUUUUCACAUUACGGACACUCCAUGUAUAUACAUAGAAUAUCCAAUGUUUACUGGGCUUGUGCCAUCAAAAGAAAUGCAUUACCUUGAGAAACAAAACUAUAAAUUGAAAAUCAAAUUGCUGGUCUGGUCGGAUUUUGUUAUAUUACUCUAACCGCCCUGAUUUUUUUCAGAGACUUCUGAAACUCCGUGAAAGUAACUUUUUUUAUGACGCCUUUCUUUUGUGUGUGUCAAUGUUUGGCUGCGCUCGCUGCGUUUUGAGAAAAAAUCGCUGUCAUCACAUAGUGCCCCGUGUCUCAAUGUGCCCCGCCUUCCACUACAUUCGUGUUUCGCACAAGCGCAGGAGACUCGAUAGAAGUUUCUCAGACGAUCGUAUAAUAUGGUUGAUUUGCAUUAUGUUUGCAGUUGUCCAAGUCAUGCCUGCUUCUUUGAUAAUACGACCGGAAUUGAUAGUUGACAUAAACCAGCCGUUCUGCUAUUACAUUAAACACAGCUCGCCAAGUGUAGCUUUAUUCCAAGGCCAUGUGAUCGAACCGAAAGUCUAGGUCUAGAAUGCAUACGUUGAUCGUUAAACGCAAGUCUAUUUGUCACACUCGCAUAUAUGCCUAUUGUAUACGAUGUUUGCAUUGAAGGAAAUCGUUGUCAUUGUCGGCAGAGGUAUUUUUUAUAACAGAAACGAUCUGUCUUUUCCGCAAUCUGUUACAAAAUACAAAAACUUUUUUUCUUGUAAUACCGAACGUCGUACGAUCGAACGUGUGAUAAUUUUGAUGAUGCAAAUACUGGCACACCCAAAGUUGUACGAUUCACGUCCGACAUCUAUUUUUCUUUUUAUAAAAUUGAAUUAAUAGCUCUAGUACUGUUUAGGUCCAAGCUAUUGUCUAUUUUCCAAAUCAUCCGAUUUUUCUCUAUUAUUACAUCUAAUUUAUUCUGGUGUUUUAAAUGACACGAAUAAAAUUAGAAUAAAAUUGGCUUGCUGAGUUA